rnacentral:rRNA from 1 species
AACGAACGCUGGCGGCGCGCCUAACACAUGCAAGUCGAACGGGGUGCACGGAGCUGAUCACUUCGGUGUGAAGCACUGUGUUACCUAGUGGCGAACGGGUGAGUAACACGUAGGUAACCUGCCCUCAGGAUUGGGAUACUCCCGGGAAACCGGGCUCAAUACCGAAUAUGACCCCGAGGUGAAAUGCCUAGGGGUAAAAGCUGCGAGCAAUCGUGGCACCUGAGGAGGGACCUGCGGCCUAUCAGCUUGUUGGUGAGGUAACGGCUCACCAAGGCAAAGACGGGUAGCCGGACUGAGAGGUUGAUCGGCCACACUGGAACUGAGACACGGUCCAGACUCCUACGGGAGGCAGCAGUGGGGAAUUUUGCGCAAUGGGCGAAAGCCUGACGCAGCGACGCCGCGUGGGGGAAGAAGGCCUUCGGGUUGUAAACUCCUUUAGUACGGGAAGAAGUCCCGAGCAAUCGGGAUGACGGUACCGUAAGAAUAAGCCACGGCUAACUCUGUG